GAUCAUUAAAGAGUAAGGGUGCUCAGCGCCCGACCUCCAACCCUUUGUUGUUAAAACUACCUUGUUGCUUUGGCGGGACCGCUCGGUCUCGAGCCGCUGGGGAUUCGUCCCAGGCGAGCGCCCGCCAGAGUUAAACCAAACUCUUGUUAUUAAACCGGUCGUCUGAGUUAAAAUUUUGAAUAAAUCAAAACUUUCAACAACGGAUCUCUUGGUUCUCGCAUCGAUGAAGAACGCAGCGAAAUGCGAUAAGUAAUGUGAAUUGCAGAAUUCAGUGAAUCAUCGAAUCUUUGAACGCACAUUGCGCCCCUUGGUAUUCCGAGGGGCAUGCCUGUUCGAGCGUCAUUACACCACUCAAGCUAUGCUUGGUAUUGGGUGCCGUCCUUAGUUGGGCGCGCCUUAAAGACCUCGGCGAGGCCUCACCGGCUUUAGGCGUAGUAGAAUUUAUUCGAACGUCUGUCAAAGGAGAGGACUUCUGCCGACUGAAACCUUUUAUUUUUCUAGGUUGACCUCGGAUCAGGUAGGGAUACCCGCUGAACUUAAGCAUAUCAAUA
rnacentral:rRNA from 1 species